rnacentral:rRNA from 1 species
GACAGAGGAUGCAAGCGUUAUCCGGGAUGAUUGGGCGUAAAGCGUCUGUAGGUGGCUUUUCAAGUCCGCCGUCAAAUCCCAGGGCUCAACCCUGGACAGGCGGUGGAAACUACCAAGCUGGAGUACGGUAGGGGCAGAGGGAAUUUCCGGUGGAGCGGUGAAAUGCAUUGAGAUCGGAAAGAACACCAACGGCGAAAGCAGCUUACUAGGCUGUAACUGACGCUGAGGCACGAAAGUGUGGGGAUCAAACAGG